rnacentral:lncRNA from 1 species
GGGAAGGGAGGAGUGGAAGCUGGUUUGCUAGGGCCACCCAGGGUGGGCUCAGGAAGGGAAGGAAUGUGAUUGAGGUUGGGUGGGACUAGGGAGAGCACAGCCAGUUGUGGGUUUUUCUUGGGACCCAGAAACAUGUGAAUGGAAAUGGAAGCCCCUCUCGCCCAGUGCCAGCAUACACACACUAGGAUCUUUCUUUG